rnacentral:rRNA from 1 species
AAAUCCGGUUGAUCCUGCCGGAGGCUACCGCUAUUGGAGUUCGAUUAAGCCAUGCGAGUCGCGAGAAAUUAGAUUCUCGGCGUACCGCUCAGUAACACGUGGGUAACCUGCCCUAUGCUGGAUAAUAACCUCGGGAAACUGAGAAUAAUGAUCCAUAGUUCACUACGCCUGGAACGGUGAGUGGAUGAAAGCUCCGGCGGCAUAGGAUGGGCCUGCGGCGUAUCAGGUUGUAGGGGGUGUAACGUACCCUCUAGCCCUCUACGCGUACGGGUGUUGGGAGACAUAGCCCGGAGAUGGAUUCUGAGACACGAAUCCAGACCCUACGGGGUGCAGCAGGCGCGAAAACUUGGCAAUGCGAGAAAUCGUGACCAGGGAACUCCAAGU